AUGCAAACUCCGAAUACCUAUGAGUACUAUCCGGGAGACAGACUGCGGGUGCUAACGUCCGUAGUCAAGAGGAAAACAAUCCAGACCGCCAGCUAAGGCCCCAAAAUCAUAGUUAAGUGGGAAACGAUGUGGGAAGGCAUAGACAGCUAGGAGGUUGGCUUAGAAGCAGCCACCCUUUAAAGAAAGCGUAAUAGCUCACUAGUCGAGUCGGCCUGCGCGGAAGAUGUAACGGGGCUAAAACUAUGUGCCGAAGCUGCGGAUGUAUACUUUGUAUACGUGGUAGGGGAGCGUUCUGUAAGCCGAUGAAGGUGUAUUGAGAAGCAUGCUGGAGGUAUCAGAAGUGCGAAUGCUGACGUGAGUAACGACAAAACGGGUGAAAAACCCGUUCGCCGAAAGACCAAGGGUUCCAGUCCAACGUUAAUCGGGGCUGGGUGAGUCGACCCCUAAGGCGAGGCCGAAAGGCGUAGUCGAUGGGAAAAUGGUUAAUAUUCCAUUACUUCUGUGUAAUGCGAUGAGAGGACGGAGAAGGCUAAAUCAGCCUGGCGUUGGUUGUCCAGGUGAAAGGAUGUAGGCAUGUAUCUUAGGCAAAUCCGGGGUACUCUAUGCUGAGAUCUGAUAGCAAGCUGUACUUGUACAGCGAAGUGGUUGAUGCCAUGCUUCCAGGAAAAGUCUCUAAGCUUCAGUUACACAGGAAUCGUACCCGAAACCGACACAGGUGGUCAGGUCGAGUAGACCAAGGCGCUUGAGAGAACUCUGCUGAAGGAACUAGGCAAAAUGGUACCGUAACUUCGGGAGAAGGUACGCUGUUGUUGGUGAUGGAACUCGCUUCCUGAGCUGACGACAGCCGCAGAAACCAGGCCGCUGCAACUGUUUAUUAAAAACAUAGCACUCUGCAAACACGAAAGUGGACGUAUAGGGUGUGAUGCCUGCCCGGUGCUGGAAGGUUAAUUGAUGGGGUUAGCGUAAGCGAAGCUCUUGAUCGAAGCCCCAGUAAACGGCGGCCGUAACUAUAACGGUCCUAAGGUAGCGAAAUUCCUUGUCGGGUAAGUUCCGACCUGCACGAAUGGCAUAAUGAUGGCGGCGCUGUCUCCAGCAGAGGCUCAGUGAAAUCGAAAUCGCUGUGAAGAUGCAGUGUACCCGCGGCUAGACGGAAAGACCCCGUGAACCUUUACUGCAGCUUGACACUGAACUUUGACCUUACUUG
rnacentral:rRNA from 1 species